GCAGGCGCUGCCGGAGCUUGGUUGGGCUGGAUCGCUUAUGUGGCAGUUACGUUUGUUCUUCCAUCGCAGCAGUCAGAAAGGAUUUUCCCUUUUUUUUCCGUGGCCAGGAAAUCAUUUUAACCAGGCGUUGUAGAAUUUUUAUUGCUGGUACUGGAUCGUAUUUAUGUUAGUUAAGUUUAUGUUUUAAAUUUGUUUAUUGUGCGUUUGGUUUUAAGACUUUUUGUUUUUUAUUUCCCGCAGGUUCGGUCGUGGUAGCAAUCACGGGCUUACGGUUGCCUAAGAAGCCCUUUAAAAAAGGUAAGUGGCUUUUAAUUUAAGAUUGUUAAUUGAGUAUUGUUAACAUUUUUAUUUUUAUUAUUUUGUAGGCGCAGCGGAAGAUUUUCUUGUUGUUGCUGGAUCAUACUUGAGUCAGAUAAGUUUAUGUUUUUAUUUUUUUAAUGCGCAUUU